rnacentral:lncRNA from 1 species
AAAUAAUGAACUUACACAAAGCGUGUGGAUCGUGAGCACACGUGCGUGAAGAAUUUAGGGCCGUGUGAAGCGUGUGUGGGUAUUGAGUUUAUGUGGCCUUUAAAGGCUUUAUGAGUGUGUAAUGAAAAACAUUUACUAUAGUGGAACAUAAAUUCAGUGGGAGUGUGGUCCCUCGAAGACCAUACUAAACAAAUGAUAUUUUCGAAUAACGGACUGUGCUUGACGAUUUAAACCAAUCGGUUGGAAAACCCAAGUACCUGGG